GGCGGGAUAGCUCAGAUGGUUAGAGCGCAGGAUUCAUAACCCUGAGGUCUCGAGUUCAACUCUCGAUUCCGCUACAA
rnacentral:tRNA from 1 species